AGCGUACACGGUGGAUGCCCUGGCAGUCAGAGGCGAUGAAGGACGUGCUAAUCUGCGAUAAGCGUCGGUAAGGUGAUAUGAACCGUUAUAACCGGCGAUUUCCGAAUGGGGAAACCCAGUGUGUUUCGACACACUAUCAUUAACUGAAUCCAUAGGUUAAUGAGGCGAACCGGGGGAACUGAAACAUCUAAGUACCCCGAGGAAAAGAAAUCAACCGAGAUUCCCCCAGUAGCGGCGAGCGAACGGGGAGCAGCCCAGAGCCUGAAUCAGUGUGUGUGUUAGUGGAAGCGUCUGGAAAGGCGCGCGAUACAGGGUGACAGCCCCGUACACAAAAAUGCACAUAUUGUGAGCUCGAUGAGUAGGGCGGGACACGUGGUAUCCUGUCUGAAUAUGGGGGGACCAUCCUCCAAGGCUAAAUACUCCUGACUGACCGAUAGUGAACCAGUACCGUGAGGGAAAGGCGAAAAGAACCCCGGCGAGGGGAGUGAAAAAGAACCUGAAACCGUGUACGUACAAGCAGUGGGAGCACAGAGCAAUCUGUGUGACUGCGUACCUUUUGUAUAAUGGGUCAGCGACUUAUAUUCUGUAGCAAGGUUAACCGAAUAGGGGAGCCGAAGGGAAACCGAGUCUUAACUGGGCGUUAAGUUGCAGGGUAUAGACCCGAAACCCGGUGAUCUAGCCAUGGGCAGGUUGAAGGUUGGGUAACACUAACUGGAGGACCGAACCGACUAAUGUUGAAAAAUUAGCGGAUGACUUGUGGCUGGGGGUGAAAGGCCAAUCAAACCGGGAGAUAGCUGGUUCUCCCCGAAAGCUAUUUAGGUAGCGCCUCGUGAAUUCAUCUCCGGGGGUAGAGCACUGUUUCGGCAAGGGGGUCAUCCCGACUUACCAACCCGAUGCAAACUGCGAAUACCGGAGAAUGUUAUCACGGGAGACACACGGCGGGUGCUAACGUCCGUCGUGAAGAGGGAAACAACCCAGACCGCCAGCUAAGGUCCCAAAGUCAUGGUUAAGUGGGAAACGAUGUGGGAAGGCCCAGACAGCCAGGAUGUUGGCUUAGAAGCAGCCAUCAUUUAAAGAAAGCGUAAUAGCUCACUGGUCGAGUCGGCCUGCGCGGAAGAUGUAACGGGGCUAAACCAUGCACCGAAGCUGCGGCAGCGACACUGUGUGUUGUUGGGUAGGGGAGCGUUCUGUAAGCCUGUGAAGGUGUACUGUGAGGUAUGCUGGAGGUAUCAGAAGUGCGAAUGCUGACAUAAGUAACGAUAAAGCGGGUGAAAAGCCCGCUCGCCGGAAGACCAAGGGUUCCUGUCCAACGUUAAUCGGGGCAGGGUGAGUCGACCCCUAAGGCGAGGCCGAAAGGCGUAGUCGAUGGGAAACAGGUUAAUAUUCCUGUACUUGGUGUUACUGCGAAGGGGGGACGGAGAAGGCUAUGUUGGCCGGGCGACGGUUGUCCCGGUUUAAGCGUGUAGGCUGGUUUUCCAGGCAAAUCCGGAAAAUCAAGGCUGAGGCGUGAUGACGAGGCACUACGGUGCUGAAGCAACAAAUGCCCUGCUUCCAGGAAAAGCCUCUAAGCAUCAGGUAACAUCAAAUCGUACCCCAAACCGACACAGGUGGUCAGGUAGAGAAUACCAAGGCGCUUGAGAGAACUCGGGUGAAGGAACUAGGCAAAAUGGUGCCGUAACUUCGGGAGAAGGCACGCUGAUAUGUAGGUGAAGCGACUUGCUCGUGGAGCUGAAAUCAGUCGAAGAUACCAGCUGGCUGCAACUGUUUAUUAAAAACACAGCACUGUGCAAACACGAAAGUGGACGUAUACGGUGUGACGCCUGCCCGGUGCCGGAAGGUUAAUUGAUGGGGUCAGCGCAAGCGAAGCUCUUGAUCGAAGCCCCGGUAAACGGCGGCCGUAACUAUAACGGUCCUAAGGUAGCGAAAUUCCUUGUCGGGUAAGUUCCGACCUGCACGAAUGGCGUAAUGAUGGCCAGGCUGUCUCCACCCGAGACUCAGUGAAAUUGAACUCGCUGUGAAGAUGCAGUGUACCCGCGGCAAGACGGAAAGACCCCGUGAACCUUUACUAUAGCUUGACACUGAACAUUGAGCCUUGAUGUGUAGGAUAGGUGGGAGGCUUUGAAGUGUGGACGCCAGUCUGCAUGGAGCCGACCUUGAAAUACCACCCUUUAAUGUUUGAUGUUCUAACGUUGACCCGUGAUCCGGGUUGCGGACAGUGUCUGGUGGGUAGUUUGACUGGGGCGGUCUCCUCCUAAAGAGUAACGGAGGAGCACGAAGGUUGGCUAAUCCUGGUCGGACAUCAGGAGGUUAGUGCAAUGGCAUAAGCCAGCUUGACUGCGAGCGUGACGGCGCGAGCAGGUGCGAAAGCAGGUCAUAGUGAUCCGGUGGUUCUGAAUGGAAGGGCCAUCGCUCAACGGAUAAAAGGUACUCCGGGGAUAACAGGCUGAUACCGCCCAAGAGUUCAUAUCGACGGCGGUGUUUGGCACCUCGAUGUCGGCUCAUCACAUCCUGGGGCUGAAGUAGGUCCCAAGGGUAUGGCUGUUCGCCAUUUAAAGUGGUACGCGAGCUGGGUUUAGAACGUCGUGAGACAGUUCGGUCCCUAUCUGCCGUGGGCGCUGGAGAACUGAGGGGGGCUGCUCCUAGUACGAGAGGACCGGAGUGGACGCAUCACUGGUGUUCGGGUUGUCAUGCCAAUGGCACUGCCCGGUAGCUAAAUGCGGAAGAGAUAAGUGCUGAAAGCAUCUAAGCACGAAACUUGCCCCGAGAUGAGUUCU
rnacentral:rRNA from 1 species